rnacentral:rRNA from 1 species
UACGGGGGGGGCUAGCGUUGUUCGGAAUUAUCUGGGCGUAAAGGGCGCGUAGGCGGUCUGCUAAGUUGGAUGUGAAAACUCUGGGCUUAACCCAGAGCCUGCAUUCAAUACUGACAGGCUAGAGUUCUGGAGGGGAUAGCGGAAUUCCUGGUGUAGCGGUGAAAUGCGUAGAUAUCAGGAGGAACACCGGUGGCGAAGGCGGCUAUCUGGACAGAGUCUGACGCUGAGGCGACGAAAGCUAGGGGAGCAAACAGG